AGAGUUUGAUCCUGGCUCAGGACGAACGCUGGCGGCGUGCCUAAUACAUGCAAGUCGAGCGAAUCAAUGGGAGCUUGCUCCCAUUGAUUAGCGGCGGACGGGUGAGUAACACGUGGGUAACCUGCCUGUAAGACUGGGAUAACUUCGGGAAACCGGAGCUAAUACCGGAUAGUUUCUUCUCUCGCAUGAGAGAAGAUGGAAAGAUGGUUUCGGCUAUCACUUACAGAUGGACCCGCGGCGCAUUAGCUAGUUGGUGAGGUAAUGGCUCACCAAGGCAACGAUGCGUAGCCGACCUGAGAGGGUGAUCGGCCACACUGGGACUGAGACACGGCCCAGACUCCUACGGGAGGCAGCAGUAGGGAAUCUUCCGCAAUGGACGAAAGUCUGACGGAGCAACGCCGCGUGAACGAAGAAGGCCUUCGGGUCGUAAAGUUCUGUUGUUAGGGAAGAACAAGUACGAGAGUAACUGCUCGUACCUUGACGGUACCUAACCAGAAAGCCACGGCUAACUACGUGCCAGCAGCCGCGGUA
rnacentral:rRNA from 1 species